UUCCUUCAGUCUUUUCCUUCCUUACGGUACCCCAUUGGAGAAACAAGCCAUUUUCUCUCCUUCUCUUUCUUCUUUCUCUCUCUAAAAAAACUCCAUUGGGACAGGUAUAUCCAUUCUUGAAAAUUAUUUCUAGGGUUUUGAAUUUUAUCCCUGUAUCAGCACAACCAAAAAGGGGUCCUCUUUUCAUCAUCAAAGAAUUACCCACUUUUUUUUCCCUUAAAAAAUGACGACUUCUGCGGUGAAGAACAACUUCUUGCCACCGGGAUUGGUGUCAAAUCUUCAGGAAGUUCUUCUUAACAGAAAGGGUGGUGCCCAAAAUGAUAAAGAUCAGCAAUCGAAGCCUAAAGAUGAUGACCCAUCAACUCAGCCGUCGUCUUCCGACUCGGUUUCCGAUGCUGCUGCUGCUGAUGACGCCGACAGUUCAAAGCCAGUGGUAUUGGUUACUAACGCUGAUGGGAUCGAAUCUCCUGGUCUUACUUGUCUUGUUGAUGCUCUUGUUCGUCAAGGCCUCUGUAAUGUUAACGUCUGCGGUCCCCAAUCAGAUAAAUCGGUGGCGGGCCAUUCUUUUACACUUAAAGAAACCAUUGCAGUUACUCCGACUGACAUUCACGGUGCUACUGCUUAUGAAGUAUCUGGGACUCCUGUAGAUUGUGUGUCAUUAGCCUUGUCUGGGGCACUCUUUUCCUGGUCGAAGCCGGUCCUGGUAAUAAGUGGAAUCAACAGGGGUUCAAGUUGUGGCCAUCAAAUGUUUUACUCAGGUGUUGUAGCUGGUGCUAGGGAGGCAUUGUUUAACAGCGUUCCAUCUAUGUCGAUAUCACUUGACUGGAGGAAUGAUGAAAAUCAAGAAAGUGAUUUCAAGGAUGCCGUGAGUGUUUGUUUACCAUUGAUAAAUGCAGCCAUCAGAGAUAUAGAAAAGGGAGCAUUUCCUAAAAGUUGCUUGUUGCAUAUUGGAGUUCCAAAAUCUCCUCUGACAAACAAGGGAUUCAAAUUGACCAAGCAAAGUCUCUGGAGCUCUAAGCUUUGCUGGCAAGCUAAAUCAUCCACCAGAAAUCUUGCUGCUGGACGUUUUCUUCCAAAUCAGCAAAGCCUUGGGAUGCAGCUCGCACAAUUAGGUCGAGAUGCUUCUGCUGCAGGUGCUGCUCGCAAAUUAGCUACACAGAGAAAGAACAUAGAGGUUGUUGAAUCUGUUGGUAUUGCAGGGAAAUCUGAUCCGGACAGGAAAGUCAAGUACUUUAGAUUGGAGUUGCUUGACAAGAAACAAGAAGAAGAAGACGAGGAUUUAGAUUUUAGAGCUCUCGAAAAUGGAUUUGUGGCAGUCACUCCAGUCUCUCUUGCGAUGCAUCUGGAAACAGAUGUUCAUGCAGCUGUGUCAGAGUGGAUUUCUUCUGCAUUGGAAAUGGAACAAUGAAAGAUGAAGCCAAUGUUCAUUACUGUUUGUUGUACAUCUUUAGAUGUCUUUGUUCAGGUGGGAGUUGGAGAAGCUGGAAAAGAACUUGAGUUUUCAUGGGCGCAAAACAUUGGUUGGAUUCAAGAGGCCCAAGACUAAGGCCUGGCUCAGGAUCUAUAAUAAUAUUCAAGAUUUUGCACUUAUUGCCCUAUGUUAGGGUAGUCUUUAAUUUUUUCUCAAGUAUUCUUAACUAUGAUCUAAUUGUGCCUUGUUUGGCAUAAGUUUAGAGAAUUUUUACCCCAUAAGUUCUGGAGGAAUAAGUUGGGCCUCAACUUUGAAACUAAGGCAUAAUUUAUGGGUUUGAACUUCAUAAGGUACAACUUUGUCUAGCGGACAAGUCCUUUCAUUUAU